AUCCACAGUGCAUCUGUGGAACUUGAGAAAACUUUACCACAAGACAGCACAAAGCCAACCAGGGUCCCUGAUUAAAAGUGAUUUCUUCUUUAAUUGAAAUGAUCUCUAUGAACAGCUGCCAGAGGAGCUUCUGAAGAGGGAAGUGCUACGAAGAGAGUUGGAAUAAGAACUAGAGGACAGAAGACUUGGUAAUGGAGUUCCUGGAAAUUGGAGAUAAUAAACUUUUCCCAACAGAAGGUGAUGAUGGCAACGUCCCCUUGCAACGGAAAAAAAAACUUCUCAUGGCACAGAACCUGCCAGCAGAAAGAUGAAGACACCUGUCCCUAUCUGCAUGUAGAGUCAUAAGCAGUGAUUUUCUAACUUGGCAGUGCUCCUUCGAGUUGACAUUUCCAAAAUCACCUAGAGGACCAGGAAAUUCAGUCAGGCUGGCAGCACAAGAGGUGGGCCUGAUCAAAUCCCUCCUGGAAAAUUAUUAUUCAAGAAAUAAGAGAAAAUGGAAGACGCUGGGCACAUGUCCCAAAAUACUAUAGAUAAGUUUUUGGAAGUAACUACUGAUUUCCAAAUAUAGAAAGUUUUCGAGCUUUGAUUUAUUUCGACCUAGAAGAAAAUUUAAAAAAUAAAAAGUGACAAAAUAAAGGCAACAUAUUUUCCUACUGUAACUCCUCAUCCAGAAUGAAGAGAUUUGAAAAAAUUAAUCUCAAUGAUUCAAACACCUCUCCUAAAGAACAUAUUUUCCUCCAUUAUAUAAGUAUUUCAAGUGGAGGUUUUUAAAUCUAAACAAUCAGAUUCCAAAAUGACUGCUUGUUUUCUUCCUUUUCAUGGCUGGGUAGCUUUCCUCCUUCUGUCUCGCUGUUUCUCUCCUCCCUCCCUCCCUCCCUCCCUCCCCCUUCCUUCUUUCCUUCAUUCCUUCUUUUCAAUAAUUAUUGAAUACAUAGAAUAUUCCUUAUUCCAGGCCCUUAGGCUACAUCAGUAAAUUUUGCAGACAUGGUCUCUGCCUUCAUGGAACUUAUAGUUUAGUAAAAGAUCAAUAAUUAAAUUAAAAGCUAUACAAAGUAUGAUAUAAUUGUAGUGCUAAUAAUAUAUGUUAUAAAAUAUGAGACAAUAUUAUAUUAACUUAAGUCUGUAAGGUCAGGGAAGACUUUUCCAAAGGCAACAAUAUUGAAGUUGAGAUCAAAAUAUGAGUAGGAUAUAAAGUAAUUCCAAAUAUGGAGCUUCCCAGACAAUGGGAACAGCCUAUGUGAACAUUAGAAAAUGAGCAAAACGAGGUCUAAUAUAUCCUAGAUUUAUGUCGAUAGCCAAAACUGUAUCAAAGAGUGAAUUAUAUUCUUUCCACAAUCUUCUUUUAUAAUCCUAUACCGUAAGAAAGAGACCCCUGUUAAACACAACAAAAUAUUUUAAAAGCACAAGUAACCCAAAUGUAUCUUUACCCAAAAACCUAGAAGACCUAGAAGCUAACAGAGCAAAUUACAAUGAAUAAUGCCCAGAGGGCAUAACAGUCAAAAGCAAUGAGCUAUGAAACCCAAAAGCAAUACAAGCUUAAACAUGGGAGAAGUUUGGUUUUUCUCUCAUGUAACAGUCAAAGCGUCAUCCCAGGUUGAGAUGGUGGUUCCACAGUGUUGAGGGCUCAAGUCUCCUUAAAUCAUAUUGCUCAAUGAUUCCUAGAAUAUUGACUUGUUCUGGGUGUUUCAAAAUCACUCAUAAUGAACAGAAAAGAAAUUAGGGAAGUGAACAAUAUUUUUCUUUAAGGUGUACUGUCUAGAAUUUUCCUGUAUCAUUUCUGCUGUUAAGUCAAUACCAAGAUAGACUUUGUUAUGUGACCACAUUUAGAUUUGGAAAUACAGUUGUUAUUCCAGGCAGCCACAUAUCCAAGUGGAAAAUAUGAGAAAAUAGGUGAUAUCAGAUAAUUGGGGAGAACAUUCACAUCACAGUGAGAAACAAUGAAAGUUGUUAUGAUAACCCAAAGGACAGAAGAACGGGUGAGACUAGAUUCCUGAUCUUCAGAAUCAAGCAGCAUAAAUGAUACAGAAGAAAGGCAGUGUUUAGGGAAUGAGGCAAGGAAUUAAAUUGAUUCCAAUUGGGGAAUUAUCAUUAUUGAAAAAAGAACAGCUGAGCUGGACUCUAAAGUGGGUGUCAGGAUUUGAGGGGAAGAAGAGUUUGAGCAUUCCAGGGAGCGGAAACAGCAUGUUACAGAAUCUGCCUUGAGGGACCUGUAUGUGCUUCAUGUGCCUAGUUCUGUAACCACACUUACUCUCUUUUCAGAUGAUUUAAUGAAUCAUCUUAGCUACAAUCUUGGUCAAAGAAAUCAGUAUUACCCAUUUUAACUUAGAAGUGAAUCCUGAAAGUUUUUGAAUCACAAUGAAUGCAUUCCUGAGUGGUGAGGUCUCAUUCGAUUGACCUAACAAAAAGAUAAAGCCAAGAUUCUUCUUAGAACCAUUAAUCCACAAAGUAUGUAUCCAUAAACAUAACUUUUCCUUUUAUAUUCUAAAGACAUUCCCGAAGUAAGGUAAACAGUGAAGUAGGAUUUGUAAAAUAAUCCAACUCAAGAAUAUCACAACUUGUAAAAUUGGGAUUAACUAAACUCUGGCUUGAUGAGAAAACAGUAAUAAUUUUCAUUAGUAUAGCAGCUAUAGUUUUUUUAAAAAGUAGUUUUACAUAUAUUAUCAGUUUAUUCUUAAUAUAAAUAUAUUAUGUAGGUAUGGAUGAAAUUGUUAUUUCAAUCUAAAGGUGAGGAAACUAAAGCUAAAAGACAUUAAGAAAUUACUCAAUAUCAGAUAGAAAGAGUUUCAGAGAUGAGAAUCAAACCCAAGACAUAACACGAGUAUGCAUGCAUUCACUGCUGUGAGGAAAUAAAACUUCCCAUGGGUCUAUUUUCAGGUGGAAAACUCAAAACUAAACAAAGGAUUGGCUGGGUACAGUGGCUCACGCCUGUAAUCCCAGCACUUUGGGGAGGCUGAGAUGGGCGGAUCACCUGAGGUCAGGAGUUUCAGACCAGCCUCGCCAACAUGGCGAAACUCCAUCUCUACUAAAAAUACAAAAAUUAGCCGGGUGUGGUGACAGGCACCUAUAAUCCCAGCUAUCUGGGAGGCUGAGGCAAGAGAACUGCUUGAACCCGGGAGGCGGAGGUUGCAGUGAGCUGAGAUCACUCCAUUGCAUUCCAGCCUGGGCAACAAAAGUGAGUCUCUGUCUCAAAAAAACAAAACAAACAAACGAAAAGCCCCCCAAAAUAUAAAGGAUUAAAUGCUAAUUAACUAAGUACAAUUCCCAUUCGCUCUUUUCUAAUCUUGCUGUCAUAAAACGACCUAAAUUUCCUUUUAUUCUUAUUGGCACAGAAGCUAGGGCCAAUUAAGAAAAGAUGAUGUCAUUCCUGAGAAUUCUAGGAAAGUUGGGACUACGUUUCUCAUUGUAUUAAUUUAUGUAUAAGUUUUCCCAAGAAUGGAGUGCUAGAAUAUUCUGAUAUGAGAUAUAAUCCAUAAAGUGAUAGUCUAAUAAUCCAGUUGAUUUAGUUAUGAUAUAUUAAAAAUUGUAUUGUUACAAAAGACUGACAAAAAUGUUAUAAUAAUUCACCAAAUUACUUUUAAAUCAGAUUAUUGGAGAUGAUUAUUUUGGUCAAUUAAUUGAAAAUCUGAAUUUUAAACAUUUUAAUUAAAAAUCACUUAAUAUUUUAGUAAAUAAUGUACAAUGUAAUUGGAAACUCUGCUGGGUAUAUUUUAAUAAAUAUUUUCAAUUUGCAGUGCAUACACACAAUAUCUAAAGGUUUGUUAAAUAAGUCUUCUAUAUUCUGAUUUAAAAUAUCCAUUUGCUUAAGAAAUCAGCACUCUUCCAGCUUGGAAUCAUUGUAAAGACAAAUUUUUGCCAAUGCAAAUGUUUAUUAUUUAAAUUACUAGAAUUAAUAAAUUUGUCAUGCAUUGAAGCCACAAUGCCUUUGAAGUAUGCAUGAUUACUAACGGUAAUAGUUACUAUUCAUUGAGUAAGUAUAUAUGCCUCCCCCACAUACCUGUGCACACACGUGUGUGUAUAUAUGUGUGUGUGUGUAUAUAUGUGUGUGUAUGUGUAUACAUAUGUCAACCUCACAGCUAUACUGAAAAGUUUUAUCACUCUCAUUUAUCAGAUGUGGAUGCUAAUGAUAAAAGUGACUUGGCCAAAGUCACACUGUUUAUAAGUGAGAGAAACAAGACUAAUCCCAGGCCUGUGUCAUUUUACAACCUAAGUCUUUCCCACCAUAUAAGAAUUCAUCUCUAUAUAUGUGCAUAACUGUCUCUAAAAGAGUUAUACCUUCAAAAGAACACCUAUGUUGACGGCAAUGUUGUAUAUGUUGACAAAGGAAUUAAUUACACAAUUGUGUGCAUUAUACCUAUCAUUUGGUACAUUUAUUUUUCUUUUGCAUUUUUCUUUGAGAUGUAAUUUUAUAGUAAAAUAAUAAAACACUGUCUUCUAGAGCAAUGUCUUUGUGACAAAGGAUUUGGGCAAUAAUUGGGUUUGGAUACUAAUCUCCUAAGUUAAUAGGGAUGGACCCUCAAGAUACAGCAAGCAAUUGGCGAUUGGAGGAAGGCAGCAUAUUUUGGGAAGAUCUCAUUUCUGUUUAUUUGAAAGAUGUGCAUCUGGGUUAGAUAAAAUAGGGAAUGAGUGGAAAAGGAAAACUUUUACUGAUUGUCAGUGGGAUGUGUCUAAAUGCAUUAUCCCUCAUUUAAUUCUCAAAACAACAAUGAACAUUAUUAUGAUAUCCAUUUUAAAGAUACAGAGGAGUUAAGUGAACUCCUCUUAAGUGGCUAAAAUUUGAUUUACACAUAGAUCUGUUUACACAAAGUUAUUGAGGGAAGCAAGGAUUCAGGAGUUACGAGCAGUCAAAUAAAUUGACAGAUAAAUAGUGGUGUGCACUAAGAAUUGACCCCAAGGCAACCGUACUACAUUUCUUUGAUAUUUUACCUACUCGGGGUCUGAAACCCCUGUUAUCUGGGGUGGUAAUGUGGUGUUAAAACAAAACGAAUGACAGAAAGGUUGGCUGCAAAAUGAUGUUAAAAUAAAAACAGUCAUCACUAUGUGGGCUGCCACUACCACACGAUGGAGUGUACUGGUCAUUUGAGUAAGUGUCUCCUUGGCCAUUGCUUUUUUUUUUCUUUUUCUUUUUUUUUUUUUUUUUUUUGAGAUGGAGUCUUGCUCUGUCGCCCAGGCUGGAGUGCAGUGGCGUGAUGUCGGCUCACUGCAAGCUCCGCCUCCUGGGUUCACGUCAUUCUCCUGUCCUUGACCAUUUCAGUGAACUUCCUUGGCAGUUCAUUUCCUCCGUAUUUAAAAAUUGGAGAGGACUCCAUGUUAACACAUUUUGACAAUGAAAAGGCAUUUACAGACACUAGAUGUUC
rnacentral:lncRNA from 1 species